CAGCAGCCACGGGAAUACGUAGGGUGCAAGCGUUAAUCGGAAUUACUGGGCGUAAAGCGUGCGCAGGCGGUUUGUUAAGACAGAUGUGAAAUCCCCGGGCUCAACCUGGGAACUGCAUUUGAGACUGUAUGGCUAGAGUGUGUCAGAGGGGGGUAGAAUUCCACGUGUAGCAGUGAAAUGCGUAGAUAUGUGGAGGAAUACCGAUGGCGAAGGCAGCCCCCUGGGAUAACACUGACGCUCAUGCACGAAAGCGUGGGGAGCAAACAGGAUUAGAUACCCCGGUAGUCCCUGUCUCUUAUAA
rnacentral:rRNA from 1 species